GAAUGCUGACAUAAGUAACGAUAAAGCGGGUGAAAAGCCCGCUCGCCGGAAGACCAAGGGUUCCUGUCCAACGUUAAUCGGGGCAGGGUGAGUCGACCCCUAAGGCGAGGCCGAAAGGCGUAGUCGAUGGGAAACGGGUUAAUAUUCCCGUACUUGGUGUUACUGCGAAGGGGGGACGGAGAAGGCUAUGUUGGCCGGGCGACGGUUGUCCCGGUUUAAGCGUGUAGGUGUGUGUUCCAGGUAAAUCCGGUUCACUUUAACACUGAGGCGUGACGACGAGGCACUACGGUGCUGAAGCAACAAAUGCCCUGCUUCCAGGAAAAGCCUCUAAGCAUCAGGUAACAUCAAAUCGUACCCCAAACCGACACAGGUGGUCAGGUAGAGAAUACCAAGGCGCUUGAGAGAACUCGGGUGAAGGAACUAGGCAAAAUGGUGCCGUAACUUCGGGAGAAGGCACGCUGACACGUAGGUGAAGUGAUUUACUCAUGGAGCUGAAGUCAGUCGAAGAUACCAGCUGGCUGCAACUGUUUAUUAAAAACACAGCACUGUGCAAACACGAAAGUGGACGUAUACGGUGUGACGCCUGCCCGGUGCCGGAAGGUUAAUUGAUGGGGUCAGCGCAAGCGAAGCUCCUGAUCGAAGCCCCGGUAAACGGCGGCCGUAACUAUAACGGUCCUAAGGUAGCGAAAUUCCUUGUCGGGUAAGUUCCGACCUGCACGAAUGGCGUAAUGAUGGCCAGGCUGUCUCCACCCGAGACUCAGUGAAAUUGAACUCGCUGUGAAGAUGCAGUGUACCCGCGGCAAGACGGAAAGACCCCGUGAACCUUUACUAUAGCUUGACACUGAACAUUGAGCCUUGAUGUGUAGGAUAGGUGGGAGGCUUUGAAGUGUGGACGCCAGUCUGCAUGGAGCCGACCUUGAAAUACCACCCUUUAAUGUUUGAUGUUCUAACGUGGACCCGUUACCCGGGUUGCGGACAGUGUCUGGUGGGUAGUUUGACUGGGGCGGUCUCCUCCUAAAGAGUAACGGAGGAGCACGAAGGUUGGCUAAUCCUGGUCGGACAUCAGGAGGUUAGUGCAAUGGCAUAAGCCAGCUUGACUGCGAGCGUGACGGCGCGAGCAGGUGCGAAAGCAGGUCAUAGUGAUCCGGUGGUUCUGAAUGGAAGGGCCAUCGCUCAACGGAUAAAAGGUACUCCG
rnacentral:rRNA from 1 species